GCUCCAAUGAUGACUUCAGUACAAUGUCCAAUUGCUGUCAGACCACACACGUGGUGAUAAAAUACUCAUACACUGAGGAGC
rnacentral:snoRNA from 1 species